GUUUUUUAAGAUAUAUGUUUGUUUAUUUUUCUUCCAGUUGGGUGAUUUUGUUGUUGGGGUUUCUUUGUUUUAUUUUAAAGGAUUUGUUUAGGAAUUGUGUAUCCUGAAUCAGCAACAGUUUGUGUAUACAGAGGAACUGCUGUGAGUCCCAAGACACUCUCCUAAGCUCUCACUUUGUGAUCCUGGCUUUUCGGGACUUUGAGGUGGCAUACAAUGACCUAAGCUACUAUGUCAAGGGCUAAUACUGCUUUUCACAGAUGAAACUACACAGCACUUUCUUUUUUUCCUUUUGAUUUUCCCCCUUUUGAUUUGCAGUUACCUGAAGUGCUUGCAGUAAGGCUUAUCAGGAACAAUGUCUGGUUGAAAGCAGUAGGGCACUGUACAGUGUGUGGCAAGGUAAAGGAACAGCAGCCACCAUGUGUACCAGUGAUCUGUCAUAUUUGAGAUGCUCUGCCAGACCAGGCAGUGUUUCUGGGAAGCACGAUAAUCCCUGUUGAGCUGCACAUGUGUUUGCGUGGGUUGAGACACGCAGACCUACAUAUUUCAUCUUAGAUCCAUGGUUUUUUCCACCAAAUAAAACCGAUGGCUCCUACUUUCACAGCACAAACCAAGGAAAAAACAGCAUAAACAAAAAUGUAAACUUUAAUGAAUCUUUUCUUCCAUCACUUUUAAUUAAUUACAGGGUGCAGAUUUUAUUUUCCCAUAUGUUUAUGUAACAUAUUGGUUGGAAGGGAGCUUAAGGACCAUCUAGUUCCGAACCCUCUGCCAUGGGCAGGGACACCUUUCACUAGACUGAGUUUCUCAGUUUCACCCAACCCGCCCUUGAACUCUUCCAGGCAUGGGGCAUCCACAACUUCUCUGGGCAACCUGCUCCAGUGCCUCACCACCCUCACAGUGACAAAUUUCUUUCUAAAAACUAAUCUAAACCUAAUCUCACUUUGAAGCCACUCUCAAGCUCUCUUGUUUGCUCUCUACAGGUACUGGAAGGUUGCAUUUUGGUCACCCUGAAGACUUCUCUUUUCCAGGCUGAACAAUCCCAAUUUUCUCCUCCUUUCCUUGCCGGGGAGAUGCUCCAGCCCUUUGAUCAGCUUGGUGUUCCUCCUCUGGGCUUGUUCCAACAGGACUGUAGCACUGCUGGAAGAUCCACUGGUGAAAGCCAUCUAAGCCCCUAAUGCAGUGAAACUUGCAAUUAAGAUGGCAUUAAACCACCUUCUGCCUGCCGUGACCGUUUGCCAGCUGGAACAUCAGGCCUUGAGCGUCUCAGGGUGUCCCUUCAUUGCCACCUUCCUCGGGCACACCACCAGGCCUGAUCUGCUCUUAUCUGCAGAAAACGUGGAGACGGCGACGGCCCUUGAAAUGUUUCCUGGGAGAUUUUACAGCUCUGGAAUGCGACGCUUCCACGCGCAUAUCGCCACCACGCGGCUUUUUCUGCUGCCUGCACCCGCGGCUGCUCAGCCAAACCCUGCUUUUUGUCCAUGCACCGAGCUGCUGCGGAGCACUUGUUUUGUUUUAAGGAAGAAUUUAUGUAGGAAUUGCAUAACCUGAAGUAACAACACUUGGUGUGUGUAGGGAGACCAUGGAAGAGCUGCCAUGACUCCCGAGAGACUCUCCUAAGAUGAGGUGUCAAUUUGUUUGGAGUUUAACUUCAAGGUUCCCCUCAAAGGAUUUAGGCACAACAGAAAUGGGACAUGUGUGCAGAGACCUAGCUCGUAAGAGCUUUGCAGGAAUGUGGAAGUACUUGCUGGCACUCGAGAGAUCUGGCUUGCGAUUGGUGAUUGGCUUUGGGAUGUGAUGGUCCACUGUGUGACAGAGUGGCACAAGUCCUCUUCAACAGAGUAUUUUGGCAUGGAGGGAUGGGUAACCUCUGGGAAGCUGACAGGGGGAUGCCAUGGAAACUUGUCUGAUGUGGGAGAGCAAAGGGAUCCCUUGCAGGCUGUGUUUCUGUUCCAUUCUGCAGUCCAAAGCUAUUUCCUGGGCUCCACACCAUCUCCAGCCAACCACAGGCAAACCAUUUGCCCCUGUAAACCAGCUGGCAUUUCCUAAAUCACAUGGAAAUCCUCAUUGUCCAGGAGCAUGAACGGCAGUUCCUGGCAUGUACUGUCCCAGAAUAGCAGCCAGAGCUGCAGGAACAUCACAACUCCCCCAGCACCUUGCAGUGGAUGCUGUUCACACUGUUUGGAGAGGUGGGUCAGGCAGGACAGCCCCACAUGGAGGAAGAGUGAGAUGGCUUCUGCAGGUCAGGCCUUCCACAGGUGACACUGGUGUGUGUUCUGGUGUACCACAGUCAGCUGCAGGAGAUGGGACAGUGCUCACCUUUCCAGGUGUGAAAAAUGCGUAUUUUAUGAUUGGCUUUUCGCAAAUAUUAAAAUUAAUAUUAUAUGUGUUACAUUAGAAAAUUAUGCUGUAUUAAUUUUUUUAAGUAGUGUGUUAAAUAUAGUUUUAGGUUAUAACAGAAUGUUGAAAUAGAAACUAUGCUAUGUAAGAUACUUUUAUAAAAGAAAGGACUUGCACCGAGAUAGCAGCCACAGGACACCUAAAUCUUUCAGAGAAAAAGAAUUUAUUGCUCCCUUAUCAGAAGAAACAAACUUCUUCCCAUCUCACUCAGCCAUGAAAAUGCUGUUAGGAUUCAGAGGAAGAAUUUGACACUGACCAUCCUGUGUUUGAAUCGAAUUUAUGCAUCAUGUAUGAGAUGUAUGAAUAUGAACAGGCAAUUGCUUUUAAGGGUUAAUCCUCUGUUAACGUGUAUCCUUCUUCAGGCUUAUGUUGCCCAGAAAAGGUAUCCAGACAUCCAUAACUCUUUGUGUCUAUUGCCUCGUACUGUCCUAAUCCAAAUUGUCCACAAUUUUUAUUACUCUAAUUAUAUUGCCAUUUUGAUAACCAUUUUAUUACUAGUAAACUUUUAAAAUUUCAAAAA